GGCAUUGUAAGUCUGCUGUCCAAGAGUUUGGUUCAACCAAAUAAGAGCAGUGGAAACUACAAAGCUAGAGUGUGGUCGGGGCAGAGGGAACUCCUGGUGUAGCGGUGAAAUGCGUAGAUAUCAGGAAGAACACCAGUGGCGAAGGCGCUCUGCUAAGCCGAGACUGACACUGAGGGACGAAAGCUAGGGGAGCGAAUGGGAUUAGAUACCCCAGUAGUCCUAGCCGUAAACGAUGGAUACUGGGCGUAGCUCGUAUCGACCCGAGCUGUGCCGGAGCUAACGCGUUAAGUAUCCCGCCUGGGGAGUACGCAGGCAACUGUGAAACUCAAAGGAAUUGACGGGGGCCCGCACAAGCGGUGGAGUAUGUGGUUUAAUUCGAUGCAACGCGAAGAACCUUACCAAGGCUUGACAUGUCACGAAUCCUAUUGAAAGAUGGGAGUGCCUUCGGGAGCGUGAACACAGGUGGUGCAUGGCUGUCGUCAGCUCGUGUCAUGAGAUGUUGGGUUAAGUCCCGCAACGAGCGCAACCCUCGUUUUU
rnacentral:rRNA from 1 species